UGGGGAAUAUUGGACAAUGGGCGAAAGCCUGAUCCAGCCAUGCCGCGUGUGUGAAGAAGGUCUUCGGAUUGUAAAGCACUUUAAGUUGGGAGGAAGGGCAGUAAGUUAAUACCUUGCUGUUUUGACGUUACCAACAGAAUAAGCACCGGCUAACUUCGUGCCAGCAGCCGCGGUAAUACGAAGGGUGCAAGCGUUAAUCGGAAUUACUGGGCGUAAAGCGCGCGUAGGUGGUUCAGCAAGUUGGAUGUGAAAUCCCCGGGCUCAACCUGGGAACUGCAUCCAAAACUACUGAGCUAGAGUACGGUAGAGGGUGGUGGAAUUUCCUGUGUAGCGGUGAAAUGCGUAGAUAUAGGAAGGAACACCAGUGGCGAAGGCGACCACCUGGACUGAUACUGACACUGAGGUGCGAAAGCGUGGGGAGCAAACAGGAUUAGGUACCCUGGUAGUCCACGCCGUAAACGAUGUCGACUAGCCGUUGGGAUCCUUGAGAUCUUAGUGGCGCAGCUAACGCGAUAAGUCGACCGCCUGGGGAGUACGGCCGCAAGGUUA
rnacentral:rRNA from 1 species